rnacentral:rRNA from 1 species
AAUCUUGCGCAAUGGCCGAAAGGCUGACGCAGCGACGCCGCGUGCGGGAGGACGCCCCUCGGGGUGUAAACCGCUGUCAGCGGGGAGGAACGGCCCGGGGAGGCAAUGCCCUGGGUUUGACAGUACCCGCAGAGGAAGCACCGGCUAACUCCGUGCCAGCAGCCGCGGUAAUACGGAGGGUGCGAGCGUUGUUCGGAAUUAUUGGGCGUAAAGCGCACGUAGGCGGCUCUUUAAGUCUCGCAUGUGAAAGCCCGCGGCUCAACCGCGGGACGGCACGGGAUACUGGAGGGCUGGAGACAGGUAGAGGCGAGCGGAAUUCCGGGUGUAGCGGUGGAAUGCGUAGAGAUCCGGAAGAACACCAGAGGCGAAGGCGGCUCGCUGGACCUUGUCUGACGCUGAGGUGCGAAAGCGUGGGGAGCGAACAGG